GUGCGCGAGUCAUUGAGAUUUAGAUAAACUUAAAGGCGAAAUGAAAGUGAAGGUUCGUCUUGCACGGACCGAGGGAAGAUGGGCGGUCCAACGCGACCGCCUCGCAUUCCCGGGGCGUCUCGUUCUCAUCGCGAGAAGAGGCGCACCAAGAGCGUACACGCUGGGACCCGAAAGAUGGUGAACUAUGCCUGGUCAGGACGAAGUCAGGGGAAACCCUGAUGGAGGUCCGUAGCGAUUCUGACGUGCAAAUCGAUCGUCGGAACUGGGUAUAGGGGCGAAAGACUAAUCGAACCAUCUAGUAGCUGGUUCCCUCCGAAGUUUCCCUCAGGAUAGCUGGCGCUCGUCGCGCACGAGUCUCAUCCGGUAAAGCGAAUGAUUAGAGGCAUUGGGGUCGAAACGGCCUCAACCUAUUCUCAAACUUUAAAUGGGUGAGAUCUCCGGCUUGCUCGAACUGUUGAAGCCGCGAGAGACGGAUCAGAG
rnacentral:rRNA from 1 species